GGUGAUUCUUGCUUAUGGAUAAAGUAACCAACUCCUUGUCUGACCCAGGCCUCCUCUGUUUUAGAACUAGGAACCGGAACUGGAACCUUCCAGAGAUGGAGAACCAGAAAAGCUGAGAAAAAACAGAGCCGAUACAGCGCAAGGUAGACUCUGCAGUUUCUGUUUAGCAACCAACCCUUCCACUUGGGAAAGCCCAGUUUGUUGGUGACAUUUCCGAUCUGGUCACCGAGUCCCCUACCGGCUGCAGCGUGCUUUAAAAUGAUGCUUUGCCAAGAUGAUCAUCAUUUUGGAAACUGGGUGUGUUUAUGGGUAUUGAAACAAAGGUGUUGAACCAAGUAAUCCGCACAUGUCAUCUUGAAAUCAGCAGAGGAAACUGCUGCCUACAACAUGCGUACAGCAUAGGCAGAGCCAGCUUUUAGUGUUGUUGAGUUUUGCCAGGUUCUUUGGA